UGUGUGCGUGUGUGUGUGUGUGUAUAUAUAUAUAUAUAUAUAUAUAUACACACACACACACGCACACAUA